rfam:Schistosoma rodhaini strain Burundi genome assembly, scaffold: SROB_scaffold0000799
AUCAAGCUGACGAGUUCCGAAUAAGGCGAAACGCGCGUCCUGGAU